GAACACUAGGCUUUAUCCUUUACCUGGUUCCCAAGAGUACAGGACAUUGGCUGUGGAGCAGAGACUAACGUUGAGCUUAUUUAUUUAUUUACAGUCUAAGUUAUUUAAAAUUAUAUUUUACUAUUUUAAGUUUUAUAUUUUAUUAUAUUAGUAUAUAGUAAGAGUAUAUCGGAGAGAAGAGUGAGGAGUGAGGGAGCAGCCAUGGGCUGCAUCCCAUGCAACACGUGUUGGCCAUUCUUUUGGCGUAAGGCACAGCCGAGGGAUGCUCCCCUGUUAUCGCAGGAGAGUCAAGAGCCCGCGCUCCCCUCAGAGAGCCAGGAACACCAGUUACCCGCGGAGAGGCAAGUGCCCUCAUUACCCCAGGCACCGCCAGCCCCUCUUGCGCCCCGGGCAAGUGAGACACCACUGCCACCCAGGGCAAGGCAGAUACCACCGCCACCCAGGGCAAGGCAGAUACCACCACCACCCAGGGCAAGGCAAACACCACCACCUCCUCGGACAAGACAGCCACCUCCACCAUCAUGGGGAAAUCAUGCACCCACGCAACCCCGAGUGAGGAAGGCACCACCGCCACCUCGGGAGAGAAAGUCACCACCUCCCCCUCGGAAGAGAAAGGCACCACCACCACCUCGUGAGGGAAAGGUGCCCACUCCAUAGAGGCAUCCGACCCCACCAUAACCACCAGAGGCAUGCUCCCCCACUACAACAUCAGGGAGGAAUGCGCCCCCACAACCACCAUCAGGGAGGCACGUGCCCCAAUACCACCAUCAGGGAGGCUUGCACCCCCACUACCACCAUCAGGGAGGUAUGCACCCCCACUACCAUCAGAGGCAUAAAGCAUGUGUGCCCCAAAAACACCAGGGACGCAUGUGCCCCCACCACCAUCAGAGAGGCAAGCACCACCAUCAGAAAAGUUGCUUGCCGACACAAUCUAUUAUUUAUAAAUAAAUAAAAAAAAUUAUUAAAAUGUU